AUUGAACGCUGGCGGCAGGCUUAACACAUGCAAGUCGAGCGAGCGUCGGACGGGUGAGUAAUGUCUGGGCAACUGCCUGAUGGAGGGGGAUAACUACUGGAAAUGGUAGCUAAUACCGCAUACCAUCAGACGUGCCCAGAUGGGAUUAGCUAGUAGGUGGGGUAAUGGCUCACCUAGGCGACGAUCCCUAGCUGGUCUGAGAGGAUGAUCAGUCACACUGGAACUGAGACACAGUCCAGACUCCUACGGAAGGAAGCAGUAGGGAAUAUUGGACAAUGGGCGAAAGCCUGAUCCAGCCAAGCCGCGUGUGUGAAGAAGGUCUUCGGAUUGUAAAGCACGGUAAGGUGGGAGGCGUUACCAACAGAAUAAGCACCGGCUAGCUUCGUGACAGCAGCCACGGUAAUAC
rnacentral:rRNA from 1 species